rnacentral:rRNA from 1 species
UCGUUUAGUUUAUUUGAUAGUCCCUUACUACUUGGAUAACCGUAGUAAUUCUAGAGCUAAUACAUGUCGUCAAUACCCUUCUGGGGUAGUAUUUAUUAGAUUGAAACCAACCCCUCACGGGUGAUGUGCCGAUUCAUAAUAAAGUUGCCAAUCUCACGGCUUUGCUGGCGAUGGAUCAUUCAAGUUUCUGCCCUAUCCCCCUUGCAUGCUCCGGUAUUGGCCUACCAUGGCUUUAACGGGAAUCGGAGGAUUAUGAUUUGAUUCCCGACAUGGACACUGACAGACGCCCACCCCGUACGAUGAAGGCAUCUCGCUCGCUAUCUCACUCCAUCUCGCACAGAGGGUAGUCAAUCAUGGCCACAACAAUGCUCGGACCCCGAGGAUCGGCACUCGAACUCCCAACAUGUCAAUGGACCUACUGCGCUUCUUCAGCCGAGCCAUAUUCCUUACCAUCAUUCUCCCUCUCCCCUCUCUUCCAAUGCUAGCUUAUGCAUGUAGCAUGUAUUUAUCUCACCUUAACCUUUGCGCCGCCUUCUUUGACCCUCCUCCUGGGUCAGACCCUAUCUUCCUCCAACGCUUAGUUUUGAAUCUUUGCCCUCCCCUACUUACUUGUACUUACACCUCCCGGUUUCGACUUCAACUCCCCACUUUUCACCCAACCUCUCUCUUUUCCACCCACCCUUUGGCUCCCUCCGAUUGUAUGUACCCCCGUCAUCUCUUCUUCCAAUCUCAAGCCUCUUCUUGUACUUAUCCCCACACAAUGCCUUCCGCAGCUCUUCUCCAUUACCCCUCCCUUUACUCACUAACCCAGUCCCCCCUCCGAAUUAUCGCCCAUCCCUAACAAAACUUAUUGAUUCUCUCCUCUUUUUACCUACUUUUCUAAAGCCUCCCUCUUUCUACAUACACAAAUGCCCCACCCCAUCCCAUCCUCUUAUUUA